GCAGACCGGGCUGCAUAUCAUGUCGUAUGAUAUCCAGAUCUUCCAUGUUCUAGUGACUCCAGGUUAAAAAUAAGAUUUAUACUAAUAUAUUAUAUUAUAUUAGUAAUAUUCUAUAAGUAAUAUUAUAUAUACUAAUAUAUUAUAUUAUAUUAGUAAUAUUCUAUAAGUAUUAUUAUAUAUACUAAUAUAUUAUAUUAGUAAUAUUACAUGGUUAAUCAAUGUAUUUUUUGGCAGUACUAUAUUGUGUACAUAGCUAUUAUAUAUUGUACAUAACAUAUGGCCAUAUCAACCAGUUCUGGCAUAUAAUUCCUAAUUCCUUCUUAUUCGUUUUCUUUCAGGACUUCGUUGAGUCCACUGCCACCAGCCCCCCCCCCCACCUCUCCCUCAUGCUCCUCCACCCCAGGCACCUCUUCCACCACCCCAGACACCCCUUCCAAGAGGAGAGCGCCAGGGAGCAGGCGAGGCAUGAGGAGAGCGAGGCAAAGUUGGCGGAAUGGUUGAGAAGAUGUGAUUCUCCACCAUUCUCUCAAAAGCUGAGAGAGAGAGUGUGUGUGUGUGUGUGUGUAUUUUUAGAUGCGUGUGUGUGUAUUUUUAGAUGUGUGGUUCAGUGUUCCUUAUUUAAAUAAAGUGUUUCUUCUAAAGUUUUCUUGUUCAUAACCGAUUAUUAUCUAAGG
ensembl:lncRNA